UGGAGGCAGGGGUUCGUGUUGGCUUGAACCAUUCAUCUGCAGAGCUGAGGUGUCUACAUCCUCCCCCGGGCUGAGGUAUGGACCAGACACCACCGUGGUGGGGAAAUGUUCUCACCUUGACCUCGGUAGCGGCUGGCUGC